GCAAACUUGGUCAUUUAGAGGAAGUAAAAGUCGUAACAAGGUUUCCGUAGGUGAACCUGCGGAAGGAUCAUUAAUGAAUGAACUCGGGUCGAAGCUGAUUGCUGGUCCUUAGGGACAUGUGCACGCUUGGCUCUUGUUUUCAACCACCUGUGCACCUUUUGUAGAUUUCGGAGUUCCCUUUUUUCUUGUCAACUUUGGUUGGAUUGGAGCAAAUUGCCAUUGCUCUGGAUGGAUUGGGGGGUUGCUCCGGAUCUAUGUUUUUCAAUAUACACCUUUUGAUUGUCAUUGGAAUGUUUAUUGGGCUCUCAGGCCUAUAAUACUAAAAUUACAACUUUCAACAACGGAUCUCUUGGCUCUCGCAUCGAUGAAGAACGCAGC
rnacentral:misc_RNA from 1 species